GAUGAAGAACGUAGCGAAAUGCGAUACGUAAUGUGAAUUGCAGAAUUCAGUGAAUCAUCGAGUCUUUGAACGCACAUUGCGCCCUCUGGUAUUCCGGAGGGCAUGCCUGUCCGCGCGUCAUUGCUGCCCUCAAGCACGGCUUGUGUGUUGGGCCCCGCCCCCCGAUCCCGGGGGGCGGGCCCGAAAGGCAGCGGCGGCACCGCGUCCGGUCCUCGAGCGUAUGGGGCUUUGUCACCCGCUCUGUAGGCCCGGCCGGCGCCUGCCGAUCAACCAAACUUUUUUCCAGGUUGACCUCGGAUCAGGUAGGGAUACCCGCUGAACUUAAGCAUAUCAAUAAGCGGAGGA
rnacentral:misc_RNA from 1 species